rnacentral:rRNA from 1 species
GGAGUUUGGUCCGUGUCUCAGUACCAAUGUGGGGGACCUUCCUCUCAGAACCCCUACUGAUCGUCGCCUUGGUGGGCCGUUACCCCGCCAACAAGCUAAUCAGACGCAUCCCCAUCCUAUAGCGGUGAACCUUUGGUGUUCGUCAGAUGUCCUCAAAACACAACAUAGAGCAUUAAUUCGACUUUCGCCGGGCUAUUCUCUACUAUAGGGAAGGUUGGAUACGCGUUACUCACCCGUGCGCCGGUCGUCAGCAAGAAAAGCAAGCUUUCCUCCUGUUACCCCUCGACUUGCAUGUGUUAAGCCUGUAGCUAGCGUUCAUC